rnacentral:rRNA from 2 species
AGAGUUUGAUCCUGGCUCAGAUUGAACGCUGGCGGCAGGCCUAACACAUGCAAGUCGAACGGUAACAGGAAGCAGCUUGCUGCUUUGCUGACGAGUGGCGGACGGGUGAGUAAUGUCUGGGAAACUGCCUGAUGGAGGGGGAUAACUACUGGAAACGGUGGCUAAUACCGCAUAACGUCGCAAGACCAAAGAGGGGGACCUUCGGGCCUCUUGCCAUCAGAUGUGCCCAGAUGGGAUUAGCUAGUUGGUGAGGUAACGGCUCACCAAGGCGACGAUCCCUAGCUGGUCUGAGAGGAUGACCAGCCACACUGGAACUGAGACACGGUCCAGACUCCUACGGGAGGCAGCAGUGGGGAAUAUUGCACAAUGGGCGCAAGCCUGAUGCAGCCAUGCCGCGUGUAUGAAGAAGGCCUUCGGGUUGUAAAGUACUUUCAGCGGGGAGGAGGGUGUUGUGGUUAAUAACCACAGCAAUUGACGUUACCCGCAGAAGAAGCACCGGCUAACUCCGUGCCAGCAGCCGCGGUAAUACGGAGGGUGCAAGCGUUAAUCGGAAUUACUGGGCGUAAAGCGCACGCAGGCGGUCUGUCAAGUCGGAUGUGAAAUCCCCGGGCUCAACCUGGGAACUGCAUUCGAAACUGGCAGGCUUGAGUCUUGUAGAGGGGGGUAGAAUUCCAGGUGUAGCGGUGAAAUGCGUAGAGAUCUGGAGGAAUACCAGUGGCGAAGGCGGCCCCCUGGACAAAGACUGACGCUCAGGUGCGAAAGCGUGGGGAGCAAACAGGAUUAGAUACCCUGGUAGUCCACGCCGUAAACGAUGUCUACUUGGAGGUUGUGCCCUUGAGGCGUGGCUUCCGGAGCUAACGCGUUAAGUAGACCGCCUGGGGAGUACGGCCGCAAGGUUAAAACUCAAAUGAAUUGACGGGGGCCCGCACAAGCGGUGGAGCAUGUGGUUUAAUUCGAUGCAACGCGAAGAACCUUACCUGGUCUUGACAUCCACGGAAGUUUUCAGAGAUGAGAAUGUGCCUUCGGGAACCGUGAGACAGGUGCUGCAUGGCUGUCGUCAGCUCGUGUUGUGAAAUGUUGGGUUAAGUCCCGCAACGAGCGCAACCCUUAUCCUUUGUUGCCAGCGGUCCGGCCGGGAACUCAAAGGAGACUGCCAGUGAUAAACUGGAGGAAGGUGGGGAUGACGUCAAGUCAUCAUGGCCCUUACGACCAGGGCUACACACGUGCUACAAUGGCGCAUACAAAGAGAAGCGACCUCGCGAGAGCAAGCGGACCUCAUAAAGUGCGUCGUAGUCCGGAUUGGAGUCUGCAACUCGACUCCAUGAAGUCGGAAUCGCUAGUAAUCGUGGAUCAGAAUGCCACGGUGAAUACGUUCCCGGGCCUUGUACACACCGCCCGUCACACCAUGGGAGUGGGUUGCAAAAGAAGUAGGUAGCUUAACCUUCGGGAGGGCGCUUACCACUUUGUGAUUCAUGACUGGGGUGAAGUCGUAACAAGGUAACC